rnacentral:lncRNA from 1 species
AGCCAUUUAUCGGCCCCUCAGCGCACGGAGCCGCCCAGGCCCGCCCGCUCCCCGCACGCUCCGACGCCAUCGCCGCCGGCACGCGCUUCCCGCCCACCCCCGCGCGCCUAUCGCCCCGCCCACUCACCGCCCCGCGCCGGCACGCCCCCUCCCGUCACGCGCGGCAGCGUGUCCCCCAUGUUUAGAGCGGAAAAUGGCGGCGCCUGAGCGGCGGUUGUGCCGGUCGGUGCGUUGGCAGGCCGGGAGCUGAAUAAAAGGGUACACCGGCGGUGGAAAGAGCAUACGUGCCUUCGUGGGAAGGCGCAGGUCACCGAGGACCCCGUCGCUUGACUGGCGUGAAACUUCGUGGAGGCUCUCCAUCUCCCGUGCAGCCGGCACACCGGCGCGGGUCUCUUGCUGGAGGAGAUCAAGCAGCUGAUCUGCCAGCGCUAGAGAUUCCCCUUCCGGAUACAGGGACGCCCAAGGUGCUGCCAGAGUAGAGCACAUCUCAGCCAGAACGUUCACUACAACUUCCAAAGGCUCCACUGCCUCCCCCUGCGUAUCCUGCGCAGUCAGGAGAGAUGUUGUCUCUACCAGACAUGUAAGCUCAUCCCUCUCACAGCAUCGAGGACUUAUUUCGGGAAGCUUCGCCGUGCCCGUCUCCUCCACAUGCUCAGCAGAAAGGGAAUGAAGGGUUUUAAGAAGAUGGAAUGAACUGCUUCAGUCAUGCUGUGACAGCGCUGACACUCUCAGCCUCCUUCCUGAAGCUGUCACUUCCAGGCAUUAAAAAUAAUGCAAAGGUGCCACAGUGGAAGUUGAGCUAUCAUCGUGCUGGCAAUGCAGCUUUGAGAAGACACCCCUUAUUCUUCCGUUAAGGCCAUGCACCUGGAACCUGCCUGUGAUCUCCUGGCUGAAUGAAGGAACUGCUGCAGCAGAAAAAAUGUUUGGAAGAGUUGAAAUGUAAGAGGUAAAACAUACUAUUAACAACCUCCAUUAUGGAUUUGUGAAUU